GACGUAUCAAACAGUAUGGGUUCCCGCUAAAAACGGGAUUAAUAGGGAAUUGUGUGUAAAUCACAAGCUGUCCCGCAACUGUAAGUAACACAAUAGGUUUUUACCCCUGUUGUCCACUGUUCGCCAAACGAUUGUGAAGGCGGAUGGGAAGGACGGUAAAAAUGUUACGAGCCAGGAGACCUGCCUUUGCUGUAUGAAACAA
rnacentral:ncRNA from 2 species